rnacentral:misc_RNA from 1 species
GAAAUGCGAUAAGUAAUGUGAAUUGCAGAAUUCAGUGAAUCAUCGAAUCUUUGAACGCACCUUGCGCUCCUUGGUAUUCCUUGGAGCAUGCCUGUUUGAGUAUCAUGAAAUCUUCAAAGUAAAUCUUUUGUUAACUCAAUUGGUUUCUACUUUGGUAUUGGAGGUCUUUGCAGCUUCACACCUGCUCCUCUUUGUUCAUUAGCUGGAUCUCAGUGUUAUGCUUGGUUCCACUCGGCGUGAUAAGUUAUCUAUCGCUGAGGACACUGUAAAAGGUGGCCAAGGUAAAUGCAGAUGAACCGCUUCUAAUAGUCCAUUGACUUGGACAAUACUUUUAUGAUCUGAUCUCAAAUCAGGUAGGACUACUCGCUGAACUUAAGC